rnacentral:rRNA from 1 species
UGGUGGAUUGAUUUGUCUGCUUAAUUGCGAUAACGAACGAGACUCUAGCCUACUUUAAAUACGUAGGCGGACUUGGUUGUGUGCGUCCCGCUUUCUUGGCUUCGGCUGGGGGUGAGCGCCGCAGCUCAAGUUGCGUCUAAACGCCCAGUGUUGCUUCGGCUCGCUGGGAAACUUCUUAGAGGGACCCGAGUUGAUAAUUAACAUUCAAACUCAUGAAGUGGAGCAAUAACA